GUUUUACGGUGCCAGCGCGUGGUUAAUUGGUUCAGCAUGAUAUUCAUAGGUUGGCACGUGUGCAGUUUCCACAAUUCUCGGGCAGCGCUGCUGUUGCCGCUUUUCUCGACGGUCUUGGUUGUUUCCUGCUAUCUUGCUUCCUGUCUCUGGUGCUCCGGCUAUAAAUACGUGAUCCAUCGCAUUGUUUCUCCCAGUCUCGCAUGUUGUGGUUUUUAUUCGUAGAUGGAUCGUUGUAGCUCUUGCCGAAGUGGCCUCCGUCGUCCGGGUCACCCUCUUGGAAUUCGCGGGGCAGCUAUUGGGCAUACUGAUCUGCGGCUUCGUCGUCCGGGUCGUCCUCGUGGAAUUCGUGGGGUAAUUACUGGGCGCAAUGAUCUGCGAGGUCGUGGUGUGGCCACGCCGGAAGCUGUUGGUGGUAGUCAUCGGAGCCAUCCUGCUGUUCAUCGUUCCGUUGGCUUCCCAUCUACUGGGGUUCAAGGUCAGAGUUCCUCUGCUGCCGAUUUGCGUCGUCGGCGUCAAGAGAUCCGACUAGGAAAGCGUCCUGUUGAUUCUGCUAUUGCUCAUUCUUCGUGUGGCUUUGGUUUUCCGGGUGAUACGAACCCUGCCGUUUCCCAACCCAGUUUUUUCGUUGUUGUCGUAGAAUUGUCACGGCAGAUGUCCUUGACCUAGGACUUAGUCGUGGAGCCAUCGCAACUAGGAAGCUUAAAGAGGUUAAGCGGGACAAGGAAUA